CUCAUAAGAUGUAGAAACUAGAGAAGAGUUUGGGGGAAAACUCUUUCUUAUGUCUUGUUGAUCUCAAUAGCAUUGAUACAAUGUAUAUAUAUGCAAUUUAGAAUAUGUUUUUCCUAAUUUGAAUAAGAAAUAGAUAAACAUGAAUAAGUAUAUAUAUAUUUCCUAUUUAGAAUAUUUAUUUAUUCAAAUUAGGUGAAACAUAAUCUAGGUUGUAUAUAUAUAUGUUAUACCAAUGCGAUUGAGAGCAACAAGACAUAAUAAAGAGUUUUCGAAAACUUUUUUCUAGUUUCUACAUAAGAGGAG